CAAAUCAGUGUUGGAACUACCGCCGGGGCAGCUGGAGACACGAUUUGUGGGAUUAUCAGGUGGCCUAUGCACUUAGGUAUGCGCUAUGGCCCUUUAACGGCGUAACCGGGCCCUUUUUUUUAUCAUAGUGAAGGUAGGAACUGAGAGCCUGUUCGGCGAUGGGGUAGCUAUAUACAUUUCCUUCCCAGGUGCCAGGUAACC